AUGCAUAUCCGUUUUCCUACCCUAAACAGACAGAAUCGGGAUAAGAGGGAUGUUCGUUUGGGAUUGUGUGGUGGAAUUGACUCUAUCGCCGGCCGUUGGCCGCGCCUGAGGACGCGUCCCCGGGCUGGAAGGGAAGGAGCCGCCGAGCGCGACGCCGGUCAUGAUGGCCUGUGCGCCGUUUCUGUCGCGCUGUUUGGACUGCUGCGCCGUGCGCUGGUCUUGGGCCACCGUCGCCGCGGUCUCAAGCGGCCGUGGCGAGGCAGAGCACGUUGUACGCUCUGGGCCGGGCGCUGCCUCUGCCAGUUCGCCGGAGAAAGGGGAUCCUCGUUCUGGUGGAUCGCCGUGGAGGCGAGCCGACGGCGGCGAUUCCUGAUAGUCAAGAACAAAAAAUAG
rnacentral:rRNA from 1 species